AACAGAAUAAAAACUGUCAAUUUUGACAGAUCCAGCCAUUGCUACACCGAGGGAGAAAUCUGGCCUGGCUGUGGAAGGGGUAGACCCUGAACACAGACUCCCUGAAUACCUUGACCAGUAACUGUUCCUCCAUUAGAAAACUGAGAAGUAAUGAUGAGUUAAGCCAAGAGAACACAAAGAGAACACACUGUACCAUUGCAUUGGCAGAGACACAUGGAUCUGCAGGCUGGAAGUGGGGAUUUGUGAGUCACUAUCCAGGCCGACAUUUCUCCAAAGACCAAUUGAGAGCAGUUACUCAUUGUUCACUGGAAACGUGCUAGAGGCUGUGGAUCGGGUAGCUGGAAUGCAGGCGUUUCCAUAUCUUUUCUAAGCGAAUGGAUGUAGAGAGCUGUGACCAGUUUUACCUAUAGAAGAAGGUCUGUUUUGUCCUAACUCUACUGUGGCCAUAGCCAACGUCCUCUUGUAAUUUGCAUUCAAGUUUCUCCAUUAGUAAGGGUGGCUGUGUGUCCCCCUUCGGAUGCCUUCCAACCUAGUGUGCUGCUUUUUAGACUCAUCUGGCUAACCUGAUUCACCUGUAAUGGAAUUGGCAAGUCACCUGGUCCGUGUAGCCUCUGACUCUUGAUGCUUCUCUUAUGAGAACAGCUUCAAAGUUCUUUUGGACAUGGUAUGUGAAGACACCCUGGGAUCCUGCAAAGUCUUCCAGAACACAGACAUGUCAGGUGGAGCUGGAUGAAGGUCUCUGCAUGCUCCCUCCGAUGUCAGGAUUCAUCCACCUAUUCAUUCCAUAGCUCCCUGGACUCAUCCGUCUGUGUUUCCUCAUUGCUUUGGCAAAAGUUCUCACACUUUCCCAUACCUGUUAAGCCAUACUCUUUGGGCCUCCAACAGGGUUUCUGACUCAAUAGGAGCCUUGUAUUUCUAACAAAGUCUCAGGCAAAGCUGGCAUAGUUGUUUGGAGCAUUCAAAGAGACUCUGCAGUCUUGGAACCCAGACUGAGAAGUACCCAGUGACUGUAGACCAGGGUCAUAAGCCCUGUAGCUGAAAGGGCAGCAGGUAUAUGUGCUGGAGGCUAAGACGUGAGCUAGUGCCAAGUUAAACUUCAAAGCUAGUCUUACCUCUGCCAAAAACUUGAGCUGAGUCAGGGCUCAGACUGCCCAUGGGAAAGAAGGUUUUCAUCAGAGUCACUGGAACCAGAAACUUCCCAGUCACAAGAGCCUCCUCUAGAGGCAAACAAAAUUGCCUGCAUGUAACAUAGCUGGGAAGCUCAAACCAGGUAGGAAUCUCAUAUAGGAGAGAAGCCAGCUAUUUGUAGUUCCGCAUCCCCACGAUCAGAAGGUAAAUGAAUGUGCUACCAUGAAAGCUAGCUCAAAUUCACAGACAAGCCCUCUGCCAGAGUAUUUAUGGAGUAGUUUCCCUUUGUGUCAGAACAUAGUCCUCCAAGAAAAACAGUCAUCACCUUUCACAGAUAAGCUGUGCUAACUUUCAAGAACCAAUCACAACCAGGGUUAUUGCUGGUUGACAUUUCACCCCUCAUAGAAGGAGAGGUGGAGAUGGCUGUUGGAGCCUUACCUGAGUUCUAUAUGAGCUUCCAGCCACUGCUACCCAGGCCUUUCUUAUAUAACUGUGUUAAAUACACUUGGAGGGUUGGAAGAAGCAGAGAAUAGAGGGAACAUGGCUCUAACUAUGUAAAUGUGGGGAAGCCAUCAUGCAUGCUGGGUGUGUACCUUCAGUGUCUCCCAUGCCCCAUGUUCCUGACUCACUCGAUAAUUUGUAAGUAAACCUGAUAAACUCAUUGGUUUCCCAGAGUGCAAUGGGUUUUUGGUUUGUCAUUGGAGACAUAUGAAAUGGGGGUAGACACAGUUUAUAGCUCCCUGGGUUUGUUUAUACUGUUUUUAUUAUAGCACCAGCUUUGGGGAGGGUGGAGAUUCUUGGGACAGACAUAGUUUUUCACAGACGUUUCUGCUGCUGUGGUUUUCUUUGUACUUUUUCUUAUUUGAAAACUGUCUUUAAAACUGGACUGUCCCCAUUUCACUUUACCCAGUGAGAUAAAUGCAAAUAUCCCAUACACGCAAGGUGUUUAUGCUCAGUCCUGUUGAGCAUUCACUGAAGAGUCACUGAUGUUACAGAGUCUGGAUUUCUCCUUCUCAUCUAAUUGAUUAUUUCCAUGCCAGCCUCACAAUCAACGGGCCUCUGCUUUGCUUCUCCAUCUUGGUGCAAACAAAAUGACUGGCAGAUGUGAAAGUAAGCCUUCCCAGCCAUCACCGAGCCUGCUCUUUAUCAAGCUCAUAAACCAUCUCAGCCCACACUUAUGGGAAAAUUAACAAUUAACUAGAGAUUUUGAUGUUGGAGGAUAUGUGUGCGCGCACACACACACACACACACACACACACCAGCUUUGCAUGGACAAUAAAAACAGUGACUACAGCAACAGAACAAA